rnacentral:rRNA from 1 species
GAUGAACGCUGGCGGCGUGCCUAAUACAUGCAAGUCGAGCGAACAGAUGAGGAGCUUGCUCCUCUGACGUUAGCGGCGGACGGGUGAGUAACACGUGGAUAACCUACCUAUAAGACUGGGAUAACUUCGGGAAACCGGAGCUAAUACCGGAUAAUAUAUUGAACCGCAUGGUUCAAUAGUGAAAGACGGUUUUGCUGUCACUUAUAGAUGGAUCCGCGCCGCAUUAGCUAGUUGGUAAGGUAACGGCUUACCAAGGCGACGAUGCGUAGCCGACCUGAGAGGGUGAUCGGCCACACUGGAACUGAGACACGGUCCAGACUCCUACGGGAGGCAGCAGUAGGGAAUCUUCCGCAAUGGGCGAAAGCUUGACGGAGCAACGCCGCGCGAGUGAUGAAGGUCUUCGGAUCGUAAAACUCUGUUAUUAGGGAAGAACAAAUGUGUAAGUAACUAUGCACGUCUUGACGGUACCUAAUCAGAAAGCCACGGCUAACUACGUG